rnacentral:rRNA from 1 species
AACGAACGCUGGCGGCAUGCCUAACACAUGCAAGUCGAACGAGACCUUCGGGUCUAGUGGCGCACGGGUGCGUAACACGUGGGAAUCUGCCCUUUGCUUCGGAAUAACAGUUAGAAAUGACUGCUAAUACCGGAUGAUGUCGAAAGACCAAAGAUUUAUCGGCAAAGGAUGAGCCCGCGUAGGAUUAGGUAGUUGGUGGGGUAAAGGCCUACCAAGCCGACGAUCCUUAGCUGGUCUGAGAGGAUGAUCAGCCACACUGGGACUGAGACACGGCCUAGACUCCUACGGGAGGCAGCAGUGGGGAAUAUUGGACAAUGGGCGAAAGCCUGAUCCAGCAAUGCCGCGUGAGUGAUGAAGGCCUUAGGGUUGUAAAGCUCUUUUACCAGGGAUGAUAAUGACAGUACCUGGAGAAUAAGCUCCGGCUAACUCCGUG